rnacentral:rRNA from 1 species
AGUGAACGCUGGCGGUAGGCCUAACACAUGCAAGUCGAACGGCAGCACAGUAAGAGCUUGCUCUUACGGGUGGCGAGUGGCGGACGGGUGAGGAAUACAUCGGAAUCUACUUUUUCGUGGGGGAUCACGUAGGGAAACUUACGCUAAUACCGCAUACGACCUACGGGUGAAAGCAGGGGAUCUUCGGCCCUUGCGCGAUUGUAUGAGCCGAUGUCGGAUUAGCUAGUUGGAGGGGUAAAGGCCCACCAAGGCGACGAUCCGUAGCUGGUCUGAGAGUAUGAUCAGUCACACUGGAACUGAGACACGGUCCAGACUCCUACGGGAGGCAGCAGUGGGGAAUAUUGGACAAUGGACGCAAGCCUGAUCCAGCCAUACCGCGUGGGUGAAGAAGGCCUUCGGGUUGUAAAGCCCUUUUGUUGGGAAAGAAAAGCAGCAGGUUAAUACCCCGCUGUUCUGACGGUACCCGAAGAAUAAGCACCGGCUAACUUCGUG